rnacentral:tRNA from 1 species
GUGGAUGUAGCUCAAGGGUUAGAGCGCCGGUCUGUGGCACCGGAGGCUGCGGGUUCAAUUCCCGUCAUCCACCCCA